rnacentral:lncRNA from 1 species
GGUGGGAGGGGGUCCCUGGAGAAUCUCCAACCAGCCUGCGCACUGGGAAUGCGCACUGGAGUGAAAAUACAGAAGUUGGUGCCCUUUGCAGCAGCCAGGAGUCCGACUCCUCCUCUUCCUGUGUGGAACCUGGAAUUCAAACGGCUGGGGCCUCACUCACGGCAUAUGGAACUAACCACGCCCCUAACUAAGAAGGCACACCUUAGUUGCAGUUAGCACACAAUUAAAGCAACUCUCCAAGUUUUACCUUAAAGUUCAAAAUUGCUAGGAGUUGAAACUACUAGAAAUAUAUUUACAUGCAAGAGUCAAAGAAACUUUGAACUAUUUAUGGCCUUUAAUAAUUAAGUAAGGUAUACUCCUGUGAUCAAGACUUGGAGCAUAUUUGUUUCUCUCUGCCUGGUUCCUCUAGAAAUUGGAAACUAUCAGAACAGAGACCAACUCCGUUUCCCGAUCCCUUUGCAAUCUGCAUUGAACCAUGAGUCAAGUUCUUGAUAAAGGAGUGAAAAUGGAUGACAUUUAAGGCACAUCUGAAGAUGGGGAAACCACAGCACAGAAUAAGGCUGGGCCCUUGAAUCAAUAAAUGAAGGAGAACUACUCAAGAGAACAAAACCACCAGCAAUAUCCACCUGUAUUUGUCUUUUCAUAAUGUGUGACACAUGUGCUCAUGGAUUAUUGUCCGAAGCAAGACAUGUGACCAAGCCUAACAUCAACUGGGUGAAGAGCUAUAUGUUCCUUUCUCAAGAGGCACUACAAGUGACAUGCCACUGGGCAGAUGGAGUCUCGCUCUGUCACCCAGGCUAGAGUGCAGUACCGCAAUCUCGGCUCGCUGCAAGCUCUGACUCCCAGGUUCACACCAUUCUCCUGCCUCAGCCUCCCAAGUAGCUGGCACUACAGGCGCCCACCACCAUGCCUGGCUAAUUUUUUAUAUUUUUAGUAGAGAAGGGGUUUCGCCGUGUUAGCCAGAAUGGUCUUGAUCUCCUGACCUCAUGAUCUGCCCACCUCGGCCUCCCAAAGUGCUGGGAUUACAGGCGUGAGCCACCGCGACUGGCCUAACAUAUUUUUAAAACCUGCAGAAUGUUUGUAUUACUUUUGUCAUAGUACAUAACAUUUAAAUGGAUUUCUUGUUUGUGUAUGUGUGUAUAUUCAUUCACAACACUGAUAGUUUUUCUGAAUAUUUCCUUUGGAUUUUAUUCUUUUCUCAUUCAACUAAAUAAGAACCUGCACCAUCUUUUUCUAGUGUAAAAAUUACAAUAUCUGAAGUGAAACUACUAGAAUAAAUCUUGUGACAAUUCUUAAGGAUUAUCUUUUAGUUGGUAUGGUUUCCAAAAAAGAUUGUACUAAGUUUUACUCCCAGUGGAAAUAUUUAAAGGCAAUACUUCCAUUUCUUUUUUACAGAAUAGAAUCCAAUUAUUCUUUUUCAUCCCAUUGUUGUAUACAGACUUUAUUUCAUUUACUUGUAGAUCAAAGGUUUUUUGGUUUCCUAUCUUUUGGACACUGUUUUGGGUACUAGAGAGAGCAUGAGUAGCUAAGUUUCUGAAAUUUACAGUGAAUGGAAAAAGAUAGGCAUAAAUGAAACAAUCACAAAAAUAAAUGUAACAGCUACAGUUACAGUUGUAAAACUGUGGUCAGUGCUAUGGAGGAGUGUACAAGGUGAUAUGAGAGAUCAUAAUAGGGAAGUUAAAUCUCUGGUUCAUGUAAAACUGCCAUGGACACACUCUCAGUGAACUUAGAGCUAAAAGAGGAGUAAUAGCCAUUAGACACAAAAAAGCAGAUAGAAAAUGUUCUGGGAAGAAUAAUGUCUAUAAAGGAUCUGGGGUAGGAGAGAGCAUUGUUCUUUGGUGAUAUGAGAUUGGAGGGAUAGGUGAAUAUAAAACAUAAGCAUAAAAACUAGAUAGUAUUUAAAUCCUUUCCUUGGAUCUUAAUGAGAAGCACUAAAGAGAUUUAAAUAGAGAAUGACAACAUGUAAUUUGGCUUUUAAACAAAGUUAUGUUUUUUAAUGCAGAAAAUAAAUUGGAAUGAAGCCCAUGUGAAUGCAUGGAGACAAGGUGAAAAGGUAGAUGAGAAAAAAGUUGGAAAUAUUUGCAGGUACAUUUGACAGGACCAGGAGAUGUCUUGGGCAUUCAUGAUGAUGGAAGAGUGGUCAAUAAUGACUCUAUUUUCUAGCUUGUAUCAUGAGAUGAAUGGAGACCCGUAGAAGAAUAAGUUUUGUGAGUGACUGGGUCAUGUAAUAUAUUUUGGAUUUGUUAAAUGUGAACUACUUUUAAGAAACUGUGGGGAAAAACUUCGUUUUGUUUACAUCCAUGAAUCAUUUGAAGCACGAAAAAUAAUUCUCAGCUGAAGAUACAAAUAUGAGGGCCCUGGGUGUAUAACUGAAGGCACGAGUAUAAAUGGGAUUAUUUAGGGAGGGCUUAAAAGUGGAUAGAGAGUAAAUUCACAGACUAUAGGUACAAAAUAAUCACCAAUGACAAUAUAUUAUGCAGCUUAAGACCAAUUGUAUGUAUUUUCCUGACAAUGUCUUUUAGAGCCUGUGACUAGUUUUCUCCUGAAGAUGUGGUGAUCUUCUUAUCAAUUUUUAAGAGUACUUAAAUGUUUUAACAAUUAUAUUUAACUCAAAAUUAGUUUCCA